UAGGGAAUCUUCGGCAAUGGGGGGAACCCUGACCGAGCAACGCCGCGUGAGUGAAGAAGGGUUUCGGAUCGUAAAGCUCUGGUGUUAAGGAAGAACGAGUGUGAGAAUGGAAAGUUCAUGCUGUGACGGUACUUAACCAGAAAGGGACGGCUAACUACGGGCCAGCAGCCGCGGUAAUACGGAGGUCCCGAGCGUGGGCCGGAGUGAGUGGGCGGAAAGCGAGCGCAGGCGGUUAGAAAAGUCUGAAGUGAAAGGCAGUAGCUCAACCAUUGUACGCUUUGGCAACUGUUUCACUUGAGUGCAGAAGGGGAGAGUGGCAUUCCAUGUGUCGCGGUGAACUUCGUAGCUAUAUGGCGGCACACCGGUGGCGAAAGCGGCUCUCUGGUCUGUCUCUGACGCUGAGGCUCGAAAGCGUGGGGAGCGCACAGU
rnacentral:rRNA from 1 species